UGGGGAAUAUUGGACAAUGGGCGCAAGCCUGAUCCAGCAAUGCCAUGUGUGCGAAGAAGGCCUUCGGGUUGUAAAGCACUUUAGUGGGGGAGGAAGGUUGACUGGUUAAUACCUGGUUGAUUUGACAGUACCUCAAGAAUAAGCACCGGCAAACUCUGUGCCAGCAGCCGCGGUAAUACAGAGGGUGCAAGCGUUAAUCGGAAUUAUUGGGCGUAAAGGGCUUGUAGGUGGUUCUAUAAGUUAGAUGUGAAAACCCUGGGCUUAACCUGGGACGUGCAUUUAAUACUGUAGGGCUAGAGUAUGGUAGAGGAGUAGGGAAUUCCUGGUGUAGCAGUGAAAUGCGUAGAGAUCAGGAGGAACAUCGGUGGCGAGGGCGCUACUCUGGACUAAUACUGACACUGAGGAGCGAAGGCGUGGGGAGCAAACAGG
rnacentral:rRNA from 1 species